rnacentral:rRNA from 1 species
GACGAACGCUGGCGGCGUGCUUAACACAUGCAAGUCGAACGGAAAGGCCCUGCUUGCAGGGUACUCGAGUGGCGAACGGGUGAGUAACACGUGGGUGAUCUGCCUUGCACUUCGGGAUAAGCCUGGGAAACUGGGUGUAAUACCGGAUAGGAGCCAUUUUUAGUGUGAUGGUUGGAAAGUUUUUUCGGUGUAGGAUGAGCUCGCGGCCUAUCUGCUUGUUGGUGGGGUAAUGGACUACCAAGGCGGCGUCGGGUAGCCGGCCUGAGAGGGUGGACGGCCACACUGGGACUGAGAGACGGCCCAGACACCGACGGGAGGGAGAAGUGGGGAAUAUUGACCAAGGGGCGCAAGCCUGAUGCAGAGACGCCGCGUGGGGGAUGACGGCCUUAGGGUUGUAAACUACUUUCGCUAGGGACGAAGCUUUUUGUGACGGUACCUAGACAAGAAGCACCGGCUAACUACGUG